GAUGAACGCUAGCUACAGGCUUAACACAUGCAAGUCGAGGGGCAGCAUGGUCUUAGCUUGCUAAGGCCGAUGGCGACCGGCGCACGGGUGAGUAACACGUAUCCAACCUGCCGUCUACUCUUGGACAGCCUUCUGAAAGGAAGAUUAAUACAAGAUGGCAUCAUGAGUCCGCAUGUUCACAUGAUUAAAGGUAUUCCGGUAGACGAUGGGGAUGCGUUCCAUUAGAUAGUAGGCGGGGUAACGGCCCACCUAGUCUUCGAUGGAUAGGGGUUCUGAGAGGAAGGUCCCCCACAUUGGAACUGAGACACGGUCCAAACUCCUACGGGAGGCAGCAGUGAGGAAGAUUGGUCAAUGGGCGAGAGCCUGAACCAGCCAAGUAGCGUGAAGGAUGACUGCCCUAUGGGUUGUAAACUUCUUUUAUAAAGGAAUAAAGUCGGGUAGGGAUACCCGUUUGCAUGUACUUUAUGAAUAAGGAUCGGCUAACUCCGUG
rnacentral:rRNA from 1 species